GUGGCUCAGGAUGAACGCUGGCGGUGUGCCUAAGGUAUGCAAGUCGAACGGUUUGUCUUCGGACAAACAGUGGCGAACGAGUGAGUAACACGUGCGAACUUACCCUUUAGAGGGGGAUAGCCUUGAGAAAUCAAGGGUAAUCCCGCAUAAGCUAUUUAUAGGAAAGGACGUAACUGUCCGCUGAAGGAGAGGCGUGCGGCUUAUCAGCUUGUUGGUAGGGUAAUGGCCUACCAAGGCUACGACGAGUAACUGGUCUGAGAGGACGGUCAGUCACGAAGGCACUGAGAUACGGGCCUUACUCCUACGGGAGGCAGCAACUAGGAAUAUUGCACAAUGGGCGAAAGCCUGAUGCAGCGACACCGCGUGUGGGAUGACGGCUUUCGGGUUGUAAACCACUAAACUCUAUCGUCUAGAUAGAGGAUAAGCGCCUGCUAACUGCGUGCCAGCAGCCGCGGUAAUACGUAGGGCGCAAGCGUUAUCCGGAAUUAUUGGGCGUAAAGGGUCCGUAGGUGGUUUAUUAAGUUUUUUGUUAAAUCCCCCGGCUUAACCGGGGAAAUGCAGAGAAUACUAGUAAACUAGAGUGGAUUCGGGGCUACUGGAAUUUGUCAUGUAGGGGUGAAAUCCGUGGAUAUGACAAGGAACACCGAGGGCGAAGGCGGGUAGCUAGGAUCUUACUGACACUCAUGGACGAAAGCUAGGGGAGCAAAUCGGAUUAGAGACCCGAGUAGUCCUAGCCUUAAACGAUCCUCGCUAGUUGCUCGUUCCUUCGGGAGUGGGUGACGAAGCUAACGCGUUAAGCGAGGCGCCUGGGGAGUACGACCGCAAGGUUGAAACUCAAACAAAUUGGCGGGAAGGCGCACAACCAGUGGAGCAUGUGGUUUAAUUCGAUACGAAGCGCUGAACCUUACCUGGGCCUGACCUCUACUUUACGUCUAACCGAAAGGGGAUGACUAAACGGUAGAUCAGCUGGUGCAUGGCUGUCGUCAGCUCGUGGCGUGAGCCGUUCUCUUAAGUGAGGUAACGAGCGCAACCCCUGUCGUAUGUUAUAUUUGUCAUACGAGACUGCCUUGUCAGAUGACGAGGGGGAAGGAGGGGACGACGUCAAGUCAGCAUGUCGCUUGUGUCCAGGGCUACACACAUCCUACAAUGGACCGGACAAUGGGUUGCUAAGCUGCAAAGUGGAGCUAAUCCCAUCAAACCGGUUCUCAGUGGGGAUUGCAGGCUGCAACUCGCCUGCAUGAACUUGGAAUUGGUAGUAAUCGGAGAUCAGCAGACUCCGGUGAAUACGUUCUCGCCUUUUGUACACACUGCCCAUCAACUGAGCCGAGUUGGCAAUACCCGAAGCCCUCAAUUGAGGUUUAAGGUGGGGCCAGCAAGGAGCGGUAAGUUGUAACAAGGUA
rnacentral:rRNA from 1 species